rnacentral:rRNA from 1 species
ACGCGCGGAACCUUACCAGGUCUUGACAUCCUCUGACACUCCUAGAGAUAGGACGUUCCCCUUCGGGGGACAGAGUGACAGGUGGUGCAUGGUUGUCGUCAGCUCGUGUCGUGAGAUGUUGGGUUAAGUCCCGCAACGAGCGCAACCCUUGAUCUUAGUUGCCAGCAUUUAGUUGGGCACUCUAAGGUGACUGCCGGUGACAAACCGGAGGAAGGUGGGGAUGACGUCAAAUCAUCAUGCCCCUUAUGACCUGGGCUACACACGUGCUACAAUGGAUGGUACAAAGGGCUGCAAGACCGCGAGGUUUAGCCAAUCCCAUAAAACCAUUCUCAGUUCGGAUUGCAGGCUGCAACUCGCCUGCAUGAAGCCGGAAUCGCUAGUAAUCGCGGAUCAGCAUGCCGCGGUGAAUACGUUCCCGGGCCUUGCACACACCGCCCGU